UCCUCCUUAGCUCAGUUGGUUAGAGCAUCUGACUGUUAAUCAGAGGGUCGCUGGUUCGAGCCCAGCAGGAGGAGCGA
rnacentral:tRNA from 2 species